rnacentral:rRNA from 1 species
GGAGCGUUCUGUAAGCCUGCGAAGGUGUGCUGUGAGGCAUGCUGGAGGUAUCAGAAGUGCGAAUGCUGACAUAAGUAACGAUAAAGCGGGUGAAAAGCCCGCUCGCCGGAAGACCAAGGGUUCCUGUCCAACGUUAAUCGGGGCAGGGUGAGUCGACCCCUAAGGCGAGGCCGAAAGGCGUAGUCGAUGGGAAACAGGUUAAUAUUCCUGUACUUGGUGUUACUGCGAAGGGGGGACGGAGAAGGCUAUGUUGGCCGGGCGACGGUUGUCCCGGUUUAAGCGUGUAGGCUGGUUUUCCAGGCAAAUCCGGAAAAUCAAGGCUGAGGCGUGAUGACGAGGCACUACGGUGCUGAAGCAACAAAUGCCCUGCUUCCAGGAAAAGCCUCUAAGCAUCAGGUAACAUCAAAUCGUACCCCAAACCGACACAGGUGGUCAGGUAGAGAAUACCAAGGCGCUUGAGAGAACUCGGGUGAAGGAACUAGGCAAAAUGGUGCCGUAACUUCGGGAGAAGGCACGCUGAUAUGUAGGUGAAGUCCCUUGCGGAUGGAGCUGAAAUCAGUCGAAGAUACCAGCUGGCUGCAACUGUUUAUUAAAAACACAGCACUGUGCAAACACGAAAGUGGACGUAUACGGUGUGACGCCUGCCCGGUGCCGGAAGGUUAAUUGAUGGGGUCAGCGCAAGCGAAGCUCUUGAUCGAAGCCCCGGUAAACGGCGGCCGUAACUAUAACGGUCCUAAGGUAGCGAAAUUCCUUGUCGGGUAAGUUCCGACCUGCACGAAUGGCGUAAUGAUGGCCAGGCUGUCUCCACCCGAGACUCAGUGAAAUUGAACUCGCUGUGAAGAUGCAGUGUACCCGCGGCAAGACGGAAAGACCCCGUGAACCUUUACUAUAGCUUGACACUGAACAUUGAGCCUUGAUGUGUAGGAUAGGUGGGAGGCUUUGAAGUGUGGACGCCAGUCUGCAUGGAGCCGGCCUUGAAAUACCACCCUUUAAUGUUUGAUGUUCUAACGUGGACCCGUGAUCCGGGUUGCGGACAGUGUCUGGUGGGUAGUUUGACUGGGGCGGUCUCCUCCUAAAGAGUAACGGAGGAGCACGAAGGUUGGCUAAUCCUGGUCGGACAUCAGGAGGUUAGUGCAAUGGCAUAAGCCAGCUUGACUGCGAGCGUGACGGCGCGAGCAGGUGCGAAAGCAGGUCAUAGUGAUCCGGUGGUUCUGAAUGGAAGGGCCAUCGCUCAACGGAUAAAAGGUACUCCGGGGAUAACAGGCUGAUACCGCCCAAGAGUUCAUAUCGACGGCGGUGUUUGGCACCUCGAUGUCGGCUCAUCACAUCCUGGGGCUGAAGUAGGUCCCAAGGGUAUGGCUGUUCGCCAUUUAAAGUGGUACGCGAGCUGGGUUUAGAACGUCGUGAGACAGUUCGGUCCCUAUCUGCCGUGGGCGCUGGAGAACUGAGGGGGGCUGC